rnacentral:rRNA from 1 species
CCUACGGGAGGCUGCAGUGGGGAAUAUUGCACAAUGGGGGAAACCCUGAUGCAGCGACGCCGCGUGAGUGAAGAAGUAAUUCGUUACGUAAAGCUCUAUCAGCAGGGAAGAAAUACUGACCUUACGGUCAGCAGACGGUACCUGCGAAAGACGCCCCGGCUAACUACGUGACAGCAGCCGCGGUAAUACGUAGGGGGCAAGCGUUAUCCGGAUUUACUGGGUGUAAAGGGAGCGUAGGCGGUGCGCCAAGUCUGGAGUGAAAUGCCGCAGCUUAACUUGGGAACUGCAUGGGAAACUGGGGAACUUGAGUACGGGAGAGGCAAGCGGAAUUCCUAGUGUAGCGGUGAAAUGCGUAGAUAUUAGGAGGAACACCAGUGGCGAAGGCGGCUUACUGGACCGUAACUGACGUUGAGGCUCGAAAGCGUGGGGAGCAAACAGGAUUAGAUACCCCUGUAGUC